AGGUAUUUUUAUUCCACUUCACAAAUUAGUCUGGUUAUAAAUAUGACAAUCUUCUUAAAAGCAAAUAAAUUAUCAAGUUAGAUUGUGAUAUUCUGAAUUAGUUAUAAAAAUUGAAAUAGGGCAUUUCCCCCCCACCUCAAAUCUAAACAAGUAAACUAUGUAAUGGAUAUCACCAUCUAUCCUACAUUUAGGUUGGGAUUGUCAAAAGCACUCAGUAUUGAUUUGUUAGGACAAAGUUGAGCUGUUUUUGAAGUCUCAUCCCUAGUUUCUAAUCUUUACCUCUUAAGACAAAGUCCACUGAAACACAUACCAAAUUUAGCAGGCUUGAUGUCAUAAAAACACUUUAACCCAUUUCAGUUUUGAUGCAAUCACCUUCAAUAUUUAUUAUUACAUACACUAACUAUUCUAAAAGAACAAUAAGGUUGCAGAGUCAAGCACUCAAAACUUAGAAAACGUCAAUGAAAGAUGUCCAUUGAACCUUUUCCAUGGAUUGGAAACUAGAAUACAGACAUAAAACCUUCCAUUACACACUUUGAAUUCCCUUCCGCUGUCCUUCUUGAAGGAUUAUGUGAGGUGGAGGUGUGAGAAGAAUAGCCCUUUGCUCUUGUAUUAACUGUCUUAGGGCCUCACCCCAUGCACAAAAAUGAAAUUAAAACACUAGCUGUGUGCAUAUAUUCCUUCCUGUAGAAAUGACAAUACACACCCUUUAUGAGUAAAUGCAGAGUAUCAAUAAAGAAGGUAUUAAAGACUGGCGCAAAAAUACUGGACUGUGACACCAUGGGCAGUACAAAAGAGCGUUUAAAAAUAGGUACUGUCAAUUGGAUUACAUAUUUAAUUGGCAUUAUUACAUAUUUUACUGCAUAGUCAUCUUCUACUCUCGUGACAAAAAAUUACACCCUCUUCUCUUCUGCCAAAAUGCAUUCAGACAAAACCAGAAAGUGUCCAAGAUUACUGAUAUGCAAAGAAAACACUAAAAUAUAUUGCAAAAGUAAAAAAAAAGCUUGGUAUAUAAGACAAGAAAUAAUCCAAAAUUUAACAAUGAUACCUCCCUAGAAUACUUCUAAUGAUAUGAUAACAUAUACAAAGGUAUAUUUAGAUGUUAUAAAUUUUCCCCUGGUUACAGGAUAUUAGUAUGGGAAAACGGUAUAUUUUACAGGCUGCUAAAACAGUGGUAUUAGCAAGCAUCUUGAAAUGUCCAGGUAUUGAACAUUUUAAGAAAAACCCACUGUUUUACUCACUACUGUUUAACUGUUCCUUUGAAGUAUGAAACAGAAAAUAUUGGACGUCUCCUCCCUACAUAUUCUAAUGUGUUACCACAGGGUUGCUCAUCAGUGUGACUGCAAUCAGAUCUAGGCAGAUGGACUUUGCGCAAGCAGAAUGGUCCAAGUGAGUCAAAGAGGGUCUACAAAGCACAAAAGUCUGCCUGUGCAGAUUGGACUGCAGGAUCAGAGCCUAAUUUUGCAAUGUAUAAGUACAAUUUUCAUUAGCUGUGCUAUUGCAGUGCUAGUCCCCAUUCCUACAUAACGUUUAAAACUUGUAUACUCUACGGACUGUAAAUUUUAACUGUCUGAUUAAUCAACAGCAGGAAAUAUCUUGUAACUUUUCCCCUCAAUUUUUCCUAGGUAUGUCUUGAUUUCCGUAUACUUAAAUGAAAAAAAAAAAAACUUGGCUUUGCUGUUUCUUUAAAUUUCUAUUUGAGUCAAAUAAUUCAAUGUAAUUUGAAUCCCAGGUAAAUACUACCAAUCAAAAAUUUAAAUCAGUUUUCUUGGGCUAAAACUCUGCCUACUAUAUAAGAUGCUAGCCUCAAUACAGGUUUUAUUUAUUUUUUAAAAACUAGUUUUAGAUCAGUUUACUUUCUCCCCAAUGUGUUCGUGGCAGAGUUUACAUUGCCAAGCAAGUGAUCUGUUCUGAAAACAAAGAAGUGGGGAUUGUGAAGUCAGCAGACACAGAACAUUCGACCCACUGCAUAAGAUGCACUCUAAAGACAGAGCCAACAAGAAAAGUGAGGUGUGCAUUUGCGGGUGAUUCUGAUCUACUUUAAAAAUAAAAGAUAUCUAAUCCUACUCAAGUACUGCAACAUAAAAUUGGGGGGUGGGAAGAGACGCUGGAGAAUAAAGUAAGCGGGGAAGUUAGGAGAAUCUCAGUGAUCCACUGGGAAUGCAGAAAUACCACCAUAAAAGUUACUUUACUUUGGUCUAAUACUUUAACAUUAUGAAAAAUAGAGCAGCUGAUUUACUUUUGGGACAUUGUGACCUACAUUAAAAAUGGAAUAUUUCCAUUCACACGGCUCUGAUCCCUUGACUUAACAAAAAUUAAUUAUGUGACUGUACUAAGCAGCCCAACAGAAACAAAGUCAAAGCUCCAUAACACUAUGCAAGUGCUUACAUACACACCCCCCCACACACACACAUGUAGGUCUUUGCCUAUAACAAUGUUUUCUUAACAUUAAGUGUUUUUCUUACUAUUUAAAUGUGAGUGUAUUUGGAGAUAUUUAGUAUUAGUCUGAGGAAGAGCACUGAAGCUGGGCAUAGUCCACGACAAAUGUAGAAACCCUCAGCAGGCAUAAACUAGUCCUGGGAUUCAUUUUUGAGCAGCAAUGAGGGACCAGGAGGAGACCACAGUAGUUUUCCCUUUAAGCAAAGCCCUAUUUCUGCUUUGUUCUGUGCAGGAAAUAUAUUUACCACACUUCUAAGAAACAUACUUUAUGCAUAUUUCAGCUAUAUGAUCAUAUACUUUAAUAUCCUACCUGCUUAUGUAAUGACUGCUCUCUUAGCCAACAUACUAGAAAUUGAACCUGGGACCUCCAGACCUAAAAGUAGGAGCUGCCAGCUUAAGCCAAAAAGCAAAGGAUGCCUUCCUAGCUUAUGGCUGUAAUAACUCAACCUUUGUGGAUCUGCACAGAGGGAAAGCUGUAACUAACACACACACACCAGAAACAAGAGAAAAAGUUCUGUACACCUGUGAUCCAAAUGACAAAUGCUAGAUAGAAGUUUAAGCCUUGCCCCUGAAAAACAGUUAGGAUGUAUUACACCAUGACGGCUUCUGUGAAAAAUUUCAGUGAAUAAGUCUACAUUAUAACCACUCCCAUGAUGUCUCCUCACUUCUUAUACGCAGUCCAAAUUAUGCUUAUUUGUUCUUAAUAGCAGAAAAAUCCAUGUCAAACCAUGGAAUUCCUUCUACACAAAUCCCUAUAGAAAAAUGAUACCUCUAAAUAGAGAUCUGUAUCAAAAGACAUCCCAAGGCAUCUGAUGAACACAAUACAAUCUCAGUGGAAGUUACUGUGGUGGCAAGUUGAAGACAGAAGGUCAGGCAACUUACAUUUCCUCAUUUUUUGAGUUACUUCAGACUCAGUUUUAUUUUAAAGUGAUGCACUCAAUACAGUAAUCAAGUCAACAGCUGAAACCUUCAGACAACUAAGAAGAACCUCUCACUUUCACCAUUUUGUGUCUUCCUGUUAAGUUGCAAUUUAUGGAUUUCAGGUGUACCUCUCAACUUCAAUCUACCAUAGGCAGCAGAAAAAGAAAACGAAAAAAUCUGGCAUACUAGAAAUAAAAUAUCUGAGAAAGCUGCUAUUAAAUGUUAGGUAUGUCAUCAUUUUGAAGGGCCUCCAUACAGUACCUGGGUUACCAUAUUAAUCUGCUUUCUCUCUUAAAAGUCAUACUAUUUCCUGAACAGCAAGAGCAGUGCCUACAAGUCUCAUGCUGGACAUUAACAGCGGAGUUAAACAGCAUCACUAAUUACACACACUUGUCUCCACACAGUAACAUCCAGGUGUUUUAUGGACACGUUUCCAAGCUCACUUUCUUGCAGGGGGUAGAAUCUCACCCUCCUGAAACUGUCACGGCUCCAGGUCGCCCUUCUAAGGCUGUGGCGGCACAGUCACCUCCUCCCGCCUCUCUUCUCCGCCCCAUUAUCUCAGGGGCGACAGAAAGCGAAGCGAUGUGGUUUCUAAAGGGAGCUGGUGCCGCCUAACAGCCAGAGCAGCCCACGGCUGGAGAGACUACUGUACUUGGUGAGGAAAUAGCAGUGGCUUCUUCUCCCCAGCUUGAUUCAGAGAAUCUGGAGCUGGUAUUCAGCCACUCUCUGAAAAUGACCGUCACUAGGUGAGAACCAACCCGGCUGUAGCUUGUAUGAGGAGUAACAGGUACAGCAGCAGCCAACCAAGCGGAACAGAGACGGCUUUGGAAUUCUGUGGUAUAAAAAGGAUUUAUAGCAACAAGCUAAGGUCCAUCUCAAGCAGGAAACAGGACAGGUUGGGGGGAAGGUACCAGUAAAGCCUGAAGAGCUGAAGUUGCAGAGCUAGCUGCUUACCUGUAACACAAGCAAGCUGCAUAAAUCUGAAGUAACUACUGAAAUCAGCGGUGUUGCUGCAGAUUUACACUGGUAUACAGAGAUCAGACUCUGGCCCUACUUAUACUCCGAACUGUGGAAAGCUAUAAUCCAUCAUUAUUGUAUUUUCCUGUUCAUGAAUGUUUGCCUUCUAUACUUCACCUCGAUUUGCUCCGAGCUAUCUCUUUCAAGCUUCCCCCAUUGUCUUGCCUGGUAACACUGACUCCGUACCCAUUCUUCUCUGAUUGCACAAGUUCCUUGUGCUGAUCAUGCAGGAAGUAUUUCCUGAGGUAGCAUUUCCUGAUGACUAACUACUGAGGAAAUCAGCCCGGAGAGCGUGAUGAUGAAUCUUUCUUUCUAUUUUUUUUUUAAUCUUAAAAAAAUUCUCCCUUUCUACUAUUUUUGAACUUCAAAAAGCCGGUCAUGAUAGAAAUGUGUUUUCUAUUAAAGACUCUAAAUCUG